UAAUACGGAGGGGGCUAGCGUUGUUCGGAAUUACUGGGCGUAAAGCGCGCGUAGGCGGCUUGACAAGUUGGAGGUGAAAGCCCGGAGCUCAACUUCGGAAUUGCCUUCAAGACUGUCUCGCUCGAGGCAGGGAGAGGAGAGCGGAAUACCCAGUGUAGAGGUGAAAUUCGUAGAUAUUGGGUGGAACACCGGUGGCGAAGGCGGCUCUCUGGCCCUGAUCUGACGCUAAGGCGCGAAAGCGUGGGGAGCAAACAGGAUUAGAUACCCUGGUAGUCCACGCCGUAAACUAUGAGUGCUAGAUGUUGGGAGGUUUACUUCUCAGUGUCGCAGCUAACGCAUUAAGCACUCCGCCUGGGGAGUACGGCCGCAAGGUUA
rnacentral:rRNA from 1 species